CGCGCAGCCCGAGCUGCGCCAACUUCGCCAACGGUUCCCAAGUUGCUGGGCGCGCAGGGCUGGGAGCAGGGUGGGGUGAGGAAGAAGAGGAGGAGAAGGAGGGCUCGCCAGGCGCCUUGGACGCGGUUCAGGAAUCCGCCGCCGCCGUGGGCCGCUCGCCGGCUCUGGCCCGAGCAGGGAGGGCUCCGGGCAGGACUGCUCGCUCACUCGCUCGCUGCGCAGGACGGCGCCCGCCUGGCGCCGCUUCUCGCCCGGCGUGAGAACCGGCCGGGCCGCGCCUCCCUUCCUCCCUCCUUUCGCACCGCGGUCCCCUGGAGGCCGCAGAGCUCGGGCCGCGAGGGAGCCGGAGCCCCGGAGCCGCUUCUGCCGAGAGGAGGGCAAAGUUGCGAGCGGAUGCUGCCGGCGCCGGACCCCAGCCGCGGAGAGUUGGAUCCGCCCCCGCCGGAGGAGCCUCGGCGGCCGGGGACCAGGCCAUCACC